GCCGCGCCGCUGCCUCCCGCCUCUCCCUCGGGCUUCCCGGUCGAGUGCGUUCCCAUGGCAACGGGCGCGCGCGGGGGUAAGAGGGUGCGCCCUCAUUCCCGCGGCUGCGAGGAGCCACCAGCGCCCCCCUGGAGGCGGCCGCCCGGAGCGGGAUGGAGCGGGGCCGGUGUGCGUUUUAGCUGAAAGCCCAGGUUUUUUCUUGAAUGGAAUUUGAGGAGGCGCAGAGAGGAGAAAAACGCUGUUACUCGAAAGAGGAAGAGUCACAGGAGGAUGCUGAGUGAACGCAGCGCCCAGGCAGGGUCAUCUGGGGACCUGGUGCGUGUGAGAACAUAUUUCUUCUCCUGGCGCCCUCCAGGCUCACUGUGGCUGGAGCCGGUGACCUGAAGCUGCAGGGCUCUGGUAGGAACAGAGGCACUGAAAGCUGCAUUCCUCUCCGUUUGGACUUAGGAGCUGCUAGUAGUUCUGAUGAAAUUGACACACAUUAGGAAAAGGAGUCGCUUAAAAAGCAUCUGAGAUUACCUAAGAUAAUUUGUUAAAAGACCAAUGCUUACACCUGAUUUUCUUCCCUUUACAUUAUACCUCUUUGAUAUUGUCUCAAGGAAAAAAAAAUCAGCAUGUGUCACUGACUGGCACUUAUUUGCCACAAAAGAUUGUUCCCCUGAGCUUCUUGUAUUUAUCUGAUAAUCACUGGCAACGUCCUCCUUUCUGUGAUGUUGUCUCCUCACCUCUGUCUCUGCCAUGAGGAGCCAUACAACGCCUUGAGAUUGUCAGCCAAAAGAUGUUCUUGAAAAGCUGGGUUAUAUGUUUUUCGUCGUUGUCGUUUAAUGUAUUCAAAAAGUCAUUCUUCUCUAGUUGCUAUAUGUGUUCCCUGUUUAAGAAAUUCCUUCUUUUUUCUUGUUUCUCUGCUUAGGGAUUUGAUACUAUUUUGGUAUCUGAUCAUGUAGAUCUUCUCUUUGGUUCUCCUUUCUUUCUACAGGCGUCUUUCCUCUUAGUUCCUCAGGUUCCCUAGUGUCUUCUCUCCCAUUUUCAAAUAAUUCUUUAAGAAUAUUAUAGAAAUAUCUUGUAUUUAAUGUAUCUUAGAGAUCGAAUCCUGAUAAAGUGGGAGAUUACUACAGUACUUCCAAUGGAACCACAGUUAAUUCACCAUCAUUAUUUCAAAGCAGACUUAAGCAUCAGAAGAAAAGCAGGUUGGAAGGAGGAGCCAAGCCUUUUGUUUCAAGUCAGUUAACUCAGGAAGAAAGAAAUAUUAAAAUGAUUCAACAUGAAUGGGCAAGUGUUUAAGAUGCUAUAUGUUUGGAAUUUUGUGAUGUAAAAUGGCUCUCUUUAGCCACUAAUCAAAAUACAUCUUUAAAAUCCCCAGAAUUUAAAAUCUUUCAUGAAAAUGGACUCUUGAUUUUGAACAACCUUUCUGCUCAUAAAAAAUUACAAACACACAGCUCAUGAAAAUAAAUGAGAAACUCAAGAAAGCUUUGUGGGAUAGAUUUUAUAACCAUAUAAAGAUUGCUGCUAAUCUGCUCUGCAGCCAAAUAAAUCAGAAACCGAAGACUCCAUUUACUGUUUCAACUAGUGGUCUUCAACAUUUUUGGACCAAAUUUCCUUUUGAGGCUCUAAUGAAAAUACUGUCCCUCCUCUUAGAAAAGUGCUUGCAUACAUACACACAUUCACCGGAAAUUUUUCACAUAAUUUCAAGGGGAUUAUGGGCUAUUCAGGGACCUUAGGUGAGCCCCUGGAAGUGUUUUUUGUAAUCUCAGAAAGUUUUUGCCUUUAUAAUUUAAAGGAAAAUAUUUUCCUUCAGAAUAGAACCAUUGAAUUUUGAAUAGGAAAAGACCAAAACUCCCAUGAUUUAUAGGUAAAAAAAUUGAGUUCCCCGUAAAAAGAUUUUCCCAAAUGUGUUCACCUAUUUAGUAGCAGAACCAAUGGGAAAAUCUUAGAUUUCUGGUGUUCUCACCGACCACCUUCCCUACCCACAUCCCGCAUCAAUUUAGAGGUUGCAUGGUUUGAAUUUCAAAAGAAAAAUCUGUUUAGUAUUAGAAGCAAAAUAACGAGAGUAUUUUGUCCUUAGCCAUUCUGCAUAGAGUUUGGGAAGUUGCAUUUUGUCUCAAAGAGUUUUUAUUAACAUGCCCUUCUACUCAGAACUAUGUGUCCCAUCAUGCUAAAAGAGAAACAAUGCCUUUCUCUCCUCUUUGUUAAGCUCUGUUAGAGCAUCAAGGUUUUGGUGCUGCAGCUCAGCUUGCUAGUAGCUCUCUCCAUCCCUUGAGGGGUUGUCCUGGGAGUGAGACAGAGAGAAAGGAGCUGCCCUGCACUCAGAUUUACCCUCCCAUCAUACAGCCGGCCUUUGGUUACUAGACCAGCUUUCCACUCACUAGUUUGGCCAAAUACAACUGAAUCCUAGUGAAAUACCCUGCUUAAACUCAAGUGAAGAUCCUUUUCCUCUCCCCUUUCUACUCGCACACCCACGUACACACACACACACACAGCUGUUUUUAAGGUACAAUUUGGAACAAAACAGUGUGAAUGUUGCUAUGUUUCCCUUUAAAGCAUCCUGCUUUCCACGAGCCAUUCCUUUCAACUGACUUCCAAAUGGUUUGAUGCUCUAACAAAAUGCUCUCUAUACUUGAUCAAAGUGCCUGUCUUGGAAAUAGUAUUGGCUUUUAAAAUAGCGUAUUUUUUUCAAUGAGCUAUUCCUAUUCUAUUGCAUGUGCUUCUUUUCUCACUUAGCUGAAAAUAAAGCCACAGCCUUUCAGCUACAGAGUCAAUGCAAGGAAGGGCGUUAACUGCUUGGAGGUGAUUAUUACGGGUGGUGACUUAGAUUGUUUAUAAAAGAAGGGCAAAGAAUGAAUUGACUUCUCAAAAUAUUUAUGUUUUCAUUCAAUGAUUUCAUUUUGUGCUUAACAUGCAAGUGCUUAGAAGAGCCAGAUUUGUUUAUUCGUUACUAACUAGCUGUCAGAUUUUUAGACAAAUGUUUUACUGUUUCUAGUUCUUAUCUUCCUCCUUUGUAAAAUGAAAGGAUGGUACUAAGGUAUCUCUAAUGUCCCUUUUAGGUUUAUCUGUCAUUGUGUGAUAUUUUAAAAUCUUU
rnacentral:lncRNA from 1 species